CUAGGAGAGCACACCAUAGGUCAAUACUGAGUCCAAUCCUGUUUAACAUCUUCAUUAAUGAUAUGAAUAAUGGGGCAGUGUGUACCCUCAGCAAGUUUGGCAAUGACACAAAACUAGGAGGAGUGGCUGAGAUGCCAGAGGGUUGUGCUGCCAUCCAGAAGGACCUCCACCGGCUGGAGAAAUGGGCUGAGAGGAGCUUCAUGAACUUCAACAAGGGGCAAGUGCAAAAUCCUGCACAUAGCGAGGAAAAACCCCAUGCACCAAUAUACGCUGGGGGCCACAAGGCUGGAAAG